CGUCGCAAGCUUACCCUGUGAAGGUCUCAUAGUAAGCAAAAUGGGUAAAUCCCAAAACGUCAGGUCGAGGUGUAGCUCACGAGGUGGGAAGAAAUGGGCUACAUUUUCUAUAUUAGAAUAAUACGAACAGCACUAUGAAACUAGUGCUCGAAGGUGGAUUUAGUAGUAAAAAACAAAUAGAGAGUCUUUUUGAACCAGGCUCUGAGACGCGCACACACCGCCCGUCACUCUCCCCAUUUUAAAUUUACAACCAUUUAAGUAAAAAAUUAACCCAAAAAGCGGGGAGGCAAGUCGUAACAUGG
rnacentral:rRNA from 1 species